rnacentral:rRNA from 1 species
GGAAUUUUGGACAAUGGGGGCAACCCUGAUCCAGCGACGCCGCGUGGAGGACGAAGGUCUUCGGAUUGUAAACUCCUUUUGAAGGGGAUGAAUGACUGCGUGAAGAGCGCAGUGUGACAGUACUCUUUGAAUAAGCCACGGCUAACUUCGUGCCAGCCGCCGCGGUAAUACGAAGGUGGCAAGCGUUACUCGGAUUUACUAGGCGUAAAGCGCAGGUAGGCGGUUCGAUAAGUCUUUUGUGAAAGCUCCCGGCUUAACUGGGAGAGGUCAAGGGAUACUGUCGAACUCGAGUGUGGUAGAGGAAACUGGAAUUCCCGGUGUAGCGGUGAAAUGCGUAGAUAUCGGGAGGAAUACCUAUGGCGAAAGCAGGUUUCUGGGCCAUCACUGACGCUGAGCUGCGAAAGCUAGGGGAGCAAAC